rnacentral:rRNA from 1 species
UAAGACGUAGGUGGCAAGCGUUAUCCGGAUUUACUGGGCGUAAAGCGCGUGCAGGUGGUUUGAUAAGUCGGGCGUGAAAUCUCCUGGCUCAACUGGGAGAAGCCGUCCGAUACUAUCAGACUUGAGGGCAGUAGAGGGAGGUGGAAUUCCGGGUGUAGUGGUGAAAUGCGUAGAUAUCCGGAGGAACACCGGUGGCGAAGGCGGCCUCCUGGACUGCCCCUGACACUCAGACGCGAAAGCUAGGGGAGCGAACGGGAUUAGAAACCCCGGUAGUCCUAGCCGUAAACGAUGCUAACUAGGUGUCGGCGGACUAAACCCUGCCGGUGCCGAAGCCAACGCGAUAAGUUAGCCGCCUGGGGACUACGGCCGCAAGGUUA